CGCUGGCGGCGUGCUUAACACAUGCAAGUCGAACGAGACGAUUGAAAGCUUGCUUUGAGAGUCGAGUGGCAAACGGGUGAGUAACGCGUAGACAACCUGCCGCAAAGAUGGGGACAACAGUCCGAAAGGACUGCUAAUACCGAAUGUUGUCAAGUUUCCGCAUGGGAGCUUGGUUAAAGAUGGCCUCUACUUGUAAGCUAUCGCUUUGCGAUGGGUCUGCGUCUGAUUAGCUGGUUGGUGGGGUAACGGCCUACCAAGGCGACGAUCAGUAGCCGGUCUGAGAGGAUGAACGGCCACAUUGGAACUGAGACACGGUCCAGACUCCUACGGGAGGCAGCAGUGGGGAAUCUUCCGCAAUGGGCGAAAGCCUGACGGAGCAACGCCGCGUGAGUGAAGAAGGGUUUCGGCUCGUAAAGCUCUGUUGACGGGGACGAAUGUGCGAAAUGCGAAUAGUUUUUCGCAAUGACGGUACCCGUCGAGGAAGCCACGGCUAACUACGUGCCAGCCGCCGC
rnacentral:rRNA from 1 species